rnacentral:rRNA from 1 species
GAUGAACGCUGGCGGCGUGCCUAAUACAUGCAAGUCGAGCGAACGGACGAGAAGCUUGCUUCUCUGAUGUUAGCGGCGGACGGGUGAGUAACACGUGGAUAACCUACCUAUAAGACUGGGAUAACUUCGGGAAACCGGAGCUAAUACCGGAUAAUAUUUUGAACCGCAUGGUUCAAAAGUGAAAGACGGUCUUGCUGUCACUUAUAGAUGGAUCCGCGCUGCAUUAGCUGGUUGGUAAGGUAACGGCUUACCAAGGCAACGAUGCAUAGCCGACCUGAGAGGGUGAUCGGCCACACUGGAAUUGAGACACGGUCCAGACUCCUACGGGAGGCAGCAGUAGGGAAUCUUCCGCAAUGGGCGAAAGCCUGACGGAGCAACGCCGCGUGAGUGAUGAAGGUCUUCGGAUCGUAAAACUCUGUUAUUAGGGAAGAACAUAUGUGUAAGUAACUGUGCACAUCUUGACGGUACCUAAUCAGAAAGCCACGGCUAACUACGUG